UACGGGAGGCAGCAGUGAGGAAUAUUGGUCAAUGGGCGCAAGCCUGAACCAGCCAUGUAGCGUGAAGGAUGACGGUUUUUUGAUUGUAAACUUCUUUUCUGUGCGAUUAAAGUGUGGCAUUUAUGCCAUAUUGCAGUUAUCUCAGGAAUAAGCAUCGGCUAACUCCGUGCCAGCAGCCGCGGUAAU
rnacentral:rRNA from 1 species